rnacentral:rRNA from 1 species
GACGAACGCUGGCGGCGUGCUUAACACAUGCAAGUCGAACGGAAAGGCCCUGCUUUUGUGGGGUGCUCGAGUGGCGAACGGGUGAGUAACACGUGAGUAACCUGCCCUUGACUUUGGGAUAACUUCAGGAAACUGGGGCUAAUACCGGAUAGGAGCUCCUGCUGCAUGGUGGGGGUUGGAAAGUUUCGGCGGUUGGGGAUGGACUCGCGACUUAUCAGCUUGUUGGUGGGGUAGUGGCUUACCAAGGCUUUGACGGGUAGCCGGCCUGAGAGGGUGACCGGCCACAUUGGGACUGAGAUACGGCCCAGACUCCUACGGGAGGCAGCAGUGGGGAAUAUUGCACAAUGGGCGGAAGCCUGAUGCAGCAACGCCGCGUGCGGGAUGACGGCCUUCGGGUUGUAAACCGCUUUCGCCUGUGACGAAGCGUGGGUGACGGUAAUGGGUAAAGAAGCACCGGCUAACUACGUG